rnacentral:rRNA from 1 species
GAUGAACGCUAGCGGCAGGCCUAAUACAUGCAAGUCGAGGGGUAGGGUUAGCUUGCUAACCUGAGACCGGCGCACGGGUGCGUAACGCGUAUGCAACCUACCUUCAUCAGGGGGAUAGCCCGGAGAAAUCCGGAUUAACACCGCAUGAAAUCACAGAACGGCAUCGUUCAAUGAUCAAACAUUUAUGGGAUGGGGAUGGGCAUGCGUGUCAUUAGUUAGUUGGCGGGGUAACGGCCCACCAAGACCGCGAUGACUAGGGGAUCUGAGAGGAUGGCCCCCCACACUGGUACUGAGACACGGACCAGACUCCUACGGGAGGCAGCAGUAAGGAAUAUUGGUCAAUGGGCGAGAGCCUGAACCAGCCAUGCCGCGUGCAGGAAGACGGCCCUCUGGGUUGUAAACUGCUUUUAUCGGG